CAACGUUAAUCGGGGCAGGGUGAGUCGACCCCUAAGGCGAGGCCGAAAGGCGUAGUCGAUGGGAAACGGGUUAAUAUUCCCGUACUUGGUGUUACUGCGAAGGGGGGACGGAGAAGGCUAUGUUGGCCGGGCGACGGUUGUCCCGGUUUAAGCGUGUAGGUGUGUGUUCCAGGUAAAUCCGGUUCACUUUAACACUGAGGCGUGACGACGAGGCACUACGGUGCUGAAGCAACAAAUGCCCUGCUUCCAGGAAAAGCCUCUAAGCAUCAGGUAACAUCAAAUCGUACCCCAAACCGACACAGGUGGUCAGGUAGAGAAUACCAAGGCGCUUGAGAGAACUCGGGUGAAGGAACUAGGCAAAAUGGUGCCGUAACUUCGGGAGAAGGCACGCUGACACGUAGGUGAAGUGAUUUACUCAUGGAGCUGAAGUCAGUCGAAGAUACCAGCUGGCUGCAACUGUUUAUUAAAAACACAGCACUGUGCAAACACGAAAGUGGACGUAUACGGUGUGACGCCUGCCCGGUGCCGGAAGGUUAAUUGAUGGGGUCAGCGCAAGCGAAGCUCCUGAUCGAAGCCCCGGUAAACGGCGGCCGUAACUAUAACGGUCCUAAGGUAGCGAAAUUCCUUGUCGGGUAAGUUCCGACCUGCACGAAUGGCGUAAUGAUGGCCAGGCUGUCUCCACCCGAGACUCAGUGAAAUUGAACUCGCUGUGAAGAUGCAGUGUACCCGCGGCAAGACGGAAAGACCCCGUGAACCUUUACUAUAGCUUGACACUGAACAUUGAGCCUUGAUGUGUAGGAUAGGUGGGAGGCUUUGAAGUGUGGACGCCAGUCUGCAUGGAGCCGACCUUGAAAUACCACCCUUUAAUGUUUGAUGUUCUAACGUGGACCCGUGAUCCGGGUUGCGGACAGUGUCUGGUGGGUAGUUUGACUGGGGCGGUCUCCUCCUAAAGAGUAACGGAGGAGCACGAAGGUUGGCUAAUCCUGGUCGGACAUCAGGAGGUUAGUGCAAUGGCAUAAGCCAGCUUGACUGCGAGCGUGACGGCGCGAGCAGGUGCGAAAGCAGGUCAUAGUGAUCCGGUGGUUCUGAAUGGAAGGGCCAUCGCUCAACGGAUAAAAGGUACUCCGGGGAUAACAGGCUGAUACCGCCCAAGAGUUCAUAUCGACGGCGGUGUUUGGCACCUCGAUGUCGGCUCAUCACAUCCUGGGGCUGAAGUAGGUCCCAAGGGUAUGGCUGUUCGCCAUUUAAAGUGGUACGCGAGCUGGGUUUAGAACGUCGUGAGACAGUUCGGUCCCUAUCUGCCGUGGGCGCUGGAGAACUGAGGGGGGCUGCUCCUAGUACGAGAGGACCGGAGUGGACGCAUCACUGGUGUUCGGGUUGUCAUGCCAAUGGCACUGCCCGGUAGCUAAAUGCGGAAGAGAUAAGUGCUGAAAGCAUCUAAGCACGAAACUUGCCCCGAG
rnacentral:rRNA from 1 species